rnacentral:lncRNA from 1 species
CUCAGAGUGCUGGGAUUACAGGCGUGCACCACCAUGCCCGGCUCCCAGCCCUUUUUAAAUUUUAUUUUGAGACAGGGUCAUGAAAGGCCCAGGCGGUCCUACCACCUUAGGCUGCAGAGUAGCCAAGAUUGCAGGCAUGUGCCACUGCUCCAGGCUCAAGAAAACGAUCCACAGCUUUUGAUUUAGUAAUCCCAGUGCUAGAGAUUGGUGCUCCAGAUAAACCCGCAAGGGAUUUAGCAUAUACAGAGUCAGAGAGUGCUGCUGACAAGGCUUAGUUAGCAGAGAGUCCACUGUGAACGGCCCUGGAUAUGUGGUGCUGGUGUUACUGGUUUUGGGGGUACUGGAGUGUCCUAGAGAUGGUUUCUAGGGUUUUUCUGUCCCAGCAAAGAAUGGUCGUGACAAGUGCAAAUGGCAGCAAGGUUUUCCAUUUACUAAAGGUAGGGAAAGAAAGGUGCUCAUUAGGGAGCGUUUGGGCCAGGUAAAAGUAGGAAAGGAAGUGCACCCUACAGCGUGAGAACGGGCCACUGUGGAAGAGAGGAUGCAGUCGCGGAGAGCUCCGCGUGGACUGCCCUUCUGUGUCGCCCACUCACUCCUCAGGCUGAGGUCAGCUCUAGGCCGCCCUGUCCAAAACUUCCUCCUCCAGUUCUGGUGAGAAGUCCCGCAGACAGUGCUUUGGGAAAGUUCUGUGCGCAUGUCCUGGGCUUUAGCGGUGAGCGGGCCACGCCCACUUCCCCAGCCAGCUUCCGGGUCUCCCUCCCAGUUCUUCGUUCAAGAGGAGAAGACCCCGGAAUCUAACUGCAGAGGGAGAGGCGAGCAAGCAACCCAGAACUUGCUAUAAGCAUCCAGAUGAAAACCACCUAAGGUGUAAUGGACCCCUAUGGAACUUCCUGGAGAACAUAAAGAGAAGGAAAAUGUGACCUACAUUUAUUCUGUGGGAUUUGAGUAUUGUGAAUUCCUUUGUUUUCUUAUCUGGACUGGUGGCAUGAUAAAGACUCUCAUCUCAGUAGAGCAAUUUCAAGGAGAUAAAUUCUUCUCACUGAAUGGCAUAACAUGGAUGACACAUAGUUUUUGCUAACUGCACUAUUAUGUCCUGGCCCCAAAAGUGGUAGGUAGGGAAGGGAAGAGGCAGCCUCGUUGGAUGGGUAUGCAUCCAGACUUUAAAAUUGGAGGAUGAAAGUCUGCAUCCUAGUACUCAGUUUUGGGUAAGUCUUCUUAUUGUCCAGUUCCUUGUUUAU